rnacentral:tRNA from 1 species
GAAAUGGUAGUCUAAUGAAGACAGUUGAUUUCGACUCAACAAAUUAUGAAUUACCCCAUACCAUCUCU